CUGCCAUGAUGCCAGCUGCAGUGGGGAAGUUGCAGCCGGGGUUGCUCACUCCAUGGAGCCAGUGGGAGCCAGGAACAAG
rnacentral:pre_miRNA from 1 species